rnacentral:rRNA from 1 species
CGCUUAAGGAGGGGCUCGCGUCCUAUUAGUUAGUUGGCGGGGUAACGGCCCACCAAGGCGAUGACGGGUAGCCGGUCUGAGAGGAUGUCCGGCCACACUGGAACUGAGACACGGUCCAGACACCUACGGGUGGCAGCAGUCGAGAAUCAUUCACAAUGGGGGCAACCCUGAUGGUGCGACGCCGCGUGGGGGAAGAAGGUCUUCGGAUUGUAAACCCCUGUCAUGUGGGAGCAAGGCGCAAGCUUGAUAGUACCACAAGAGGAAGGGACGGCAAACUCUGUGCCAGCAGCCGCGGUAAUACAGAGGUCCCAAGCGUUGUUCGGAAUCACUGGGCGUAAAGGGUACGUAGGCGGCGGAAUAAGUCGUGCGUGAAAGGCAGGGGCUCAACCUCUGGAGUGCGCAUGAUACUGUUCUGCUGGAGUGAUGGAGGGGGAACCGGAAUUCUUGGUGUAGCAGUGAAAUGCGUAGAUAUCAAGAAGAAGACUCGUGGCGAAGGCGGGUUCCUGGACAUUCACUGACGCUGAGGUACGAAGGCCGGGGUAGCGAAAGGGAUUAGAUACCCUGGUAGUCCACGCCGUAAACGAUGACUAAGGGGUGUCGGGUACCACAGGUAUUUGGUGGCGCAGCCAAGCGCCAAUAAAUAAUUCCACCUGGGGGGUACGUUCGCAAGAAAUGAAACUCAAAGGAAUUGACGGGGACCCGCACAAGCGGUGGAGCAUGUGAUUUAAUUGGAAGCAACGCGAAGAACCUUACCUGGUCUUGACAUCAAGUGACCGCUCUAGAGAUAGAGCCUCCCUUCGGGGCACGAAGACAGGUGGUGCAUGGUUGUCGUCAGCUCGUGUCGUGAGAUGUUGGGUUAAGUCCCGCAACGAGCGCAACCCUUACUAUUAGUUGCUACGCAAGAGCACUCUAAUAGGACUGCCGUUGACAAAACGGAGGAAGGUGGGGAUGACGUCAAAUCAUCAUGCCCUUUAUGACCUGGGCUACACACGUACUACAAUGGCAUUUAACAAAGAGCAGCGAAACCGCGAGGUGGAGCAAAUCUCCAAAAAAUGUCUCAGUUCAGAUUGCAGGCUGCAACUCGCCUGCAUGAAGUCGGAAUUGCUAGUAAUCGUAGGUCAGCAUACUACGGUGAAUACGUAACCGGGCCUUGCACACACCGCCCGUCA